rnacentral:rRNA from 1 species
CUCAUUAAAUCAGUUGCGAUCUACUCGGCGUUCCGCGCCGCCGGAUAACCGUAGUAAUUCUAGGGCUAAUACGUGCGAAGCGCCGAAGCCGCGAGGCGACGGGCGUUCUCGCCGGAUGUAGGAACCGACCCGGGGACCGCCGGGGCAACCCGGCGCCCCCGAGACGGGGCGAACCACGGUGAAAUGACGGAUCGUCGGCCCCGCGCCGGCGACUCGCCGAAUGAGUUUCUGACCUAUCAACUCGAGACGGCGGGGUAGAGGCCCGCCGCGGUAACGACGGGUAACGGGGAAUCAGGGUUCGAUUCCGGAGAGGGAGCCCGAGAAACGGCUACCACUUCCAAGGAAGGCAGCAGGCGCGCAACUUACCCUAAUCUCGAUUCGAGGAGGUGUGACAAGAAAUACCGAUGCGGGACCCUACGGGUGCCGCGUUCGGAAUGAGUACGAUUCGAACCACCUAACGAG